AGGAACCUGCCUCAAAGAGGGGGACAACAGUUGGAAACGACUGCUAAUACCGCAUAAGCCCACGGCUCGGCAUCGAGCAGGGGGAAAAGGAGCAAUCCGCUUUGAGAUGGCCUCGCGUCCGAUUAGCUAGUUGGUGAGGUAACGGCCCACCAAGGCGACGAUCGGUAGCCGGACUGAGAGGUUGAACGGCCACAUUGGGACUGAGACACGGCCCAGACUCCUACGGGAGGCAGCAGUGGGGAAUAUUGCACAAUGGGGGAAACCCUGAUGCAGCGACGCCGCGUGGAGGAAGAAGGUCUUCGGAUUGUAAACUCCUGUUGUUGAGGAAGAUAAUGACGGUACUCAACAAGGAAGUGACGGCUAACUACGUGCCAGCAGCCGCGGUAAAACGUAGGUCACAAGCGUUGUCCGGAAUUACUGGGUGUAAAGGGAGCGCAGGCGGGAGAACAAGUUGGAAGUGAAAUCCAUGGGCUCAACCCAUGAACUGCUUUCAAAACUGUUUUUCUUGAGUAGUGCAGAGGUAGGCGGAAUUCCCGGUGUAGCGGUGGAAUGCGUAGAUAUCGGGAGGAACACCAGUGGCGGAGGCGGCCUACUGGGCACCAACUGACGCUGAGGCUCGAAAGUGUGGGUAGCAAACAGGAUUAGAUACCCUGGUAGUCCACACCGUAAACGAUGAUUACUAGGUGU
rnacentral:rRNA from 1 species